rnacentral:rRNA from 1 species
UACGUAGGGGGCAAGCGGUGUCCGGAUUCAUUGGGCGUAAAGAGCGUGUAGGCGGCCAGGUAGGUCGGAUGUGAAAACUGGAGGCUCAACCUUCAGACGUCGACCGAAACCAUCUGGCUAGAGUCCGGGAGAGGAGAGUGGAAUUCCUGGUGUAGCGGUGAAAUGCGCAGAUAUCAGGAGGAACACCGGUGGCGAAGGCGGGUCUCUGGACAGUUCCUGACGCUGAGGCACGAAGGUCAGGGGAGCAAACGGG